GGGCCCGUAGUGUAGCUUGGUAUCACUCCAGGUUUGGGACCUGGCAACCGGGGUUCAAAUCCUCGCGGGCCCA
rnacentral:tRNA from 1 species